rnacentral:ncRNA from 1 species
AACGACGAAGCCGAAAAUCGUUAAGAGUAGGCA